UUACUGGUAGGUUAUUUAAACUGACAAAUUGUGGUUUUGUAGAUUACAGUUCUUUUUUUUUGUAUC
rnacentral:tRNA from 1 species